GGGUACAGUGAACUUGCCGUGAGGAGUGGAAUAUCCAACGUUUCGGAUUCAAUCCUUUAUUAACGGCUGUGUGGUAAGUAGCUUGC